rnacentral:rRNA from 1 species
AACGAACGCUGGCGGCAUGCCUAACACAUGCAAGUCGAACGAGACCUUCGGGUCUAGUGGCGCACGGGUGCGUAACGCGUGGGAACCUGCCCUUAGGUUCGGAAUAACUCCCCGAAAGGGGUGCUAAUACCGGAUAAUGUCUUCGGACCAAAGAUUUAUCGCCUUUGGAUGGGGCCGCGUUGGAUUAGCUAGUUGGUAGGGUAAAAGCCUACCAAGGCGACGAUCCAUAGCUGGUCUGAGAGGAUGCUCAGCCACACUGGGACUGAGACACGGCCCAGACUCCUACGGGAGGCAGCAGUGGGGAAUAUUGGACAAUGGGCGAAAGCCUGAUCCAGCAAUGCCGCGGGAGUGAUGAAGGCCUUAGGGUUGUAAAGCUCUUUUACCCGGGAUGAUAAUGACGGUACCGGGAGAAUAAGCUCCGGCUAACUCCGUG